AUUGAACGCUGGCGGCAGGCCUAACACAUGCCAGUCGAACGGUAACAGGAAGAAGCUUGCUUCUUUGCUGACGAGUGGCGGACGGGUGAGUAAUGUCUGGGAAACUGCCUGAUGGAGGGGGAUAACUACUGGAAACGGUAGCUAAUACCGCAUAACGUCGCAAGACCAAAGAGGGGGACCUUCGGGCCUCUUGCCAUCGGAUGUGCCCAGAUGGGAUUAGCUAGUAGGUGGGGUAACGGCUCACCUAGGCGACGAUCCCUAGCUGGUCUGAGAGGAUGACCAGCCACACUGGAACUGGGACACGGUCCAGACUCCGACGGGAGGCAGCAGUGGGGAAUAUUGCACAAUGGGCGCAAGCCUGAUGCAGCCCUGCCGGGUGUAUGAAGAAGGCCUUCGGGUUGUAAAGUACUUUCAGCGGGGAGGAAGGGAGUAAAGUUAAUACCUUUGCUCAUUGACGUUACCCGCAGAAGAAGCACCGGCUAACUCCGUG
rnacentral:rRNA from 1 species